rnacentral:tRNA from 1 species
GCUCUCAUCAUCUAAAGGUUAGGAUGCUGCCCUUUCAAGGCAGAAAUGUUAGGUUCAAAUCCUACUGAGAGUACCA